rnacentral:rRNA from 1 species
CUACGUGCCAGCAGCCGCGGUAAUACGUAGGUGGCAAGCGUUGUCCGGAAUUAUUGGGCGUAAAGCGCGCGCAGGCGGAUUGGUCAGUCUAUCUUAAAAGUUCGGGGCUUAACCCCGUGAUGGGAUGGAAACUGCCAAUCUAGAGUAUCGGAGAGGAAAGUGGAAUUCCUAGUGUAGCGGUGAAAUGCGUAGAUAUUAGGAAGAACACCAGUGGCGAAGGCGACUUUCUGGACGAAAACUGACGCUGAGGCGCGAAAGCCAGGGGAGCGAACAGGAUUAGAUACCCUGGUAGUCCUGGCCGUAAACGAUGGGUACUAGGUGUAGGAGGUAUCGACCCCUUCUGUGCCGGAGUUAACGCAAUAAGUACCCCGCCUGGGGAGUACGACCGCAAGGUUGAAACUCAAAGGAAUUGACGGGGGCCCGCACAAGCGGUGGAGUAUGUGGUUUAAUUCGACGCAACGCGAAGAACCUUACCAGGUCUUGACAU